rnacentral:tRNA from 1 species
CGGGGUAUAGGCUAAUCUGGUUAAGUCGCUCGGCUUGGGACCGAGAAAUUGUUGGUUCAAAUCCAGCUACCCCGA